CUCUUCCUGGAGCUGGCCAGCGGCAGCUGAAGAUGAUGGCCUUUGAUUGUGGCACCUUCUCCAAAGACACGCUCCACGCCCAGUGUGCAGCCGGGCUCUGCCGAUGCUGAGGCUGCUCCGGGCUCUGCCAGGGCUCUGCUGGGGCUCAGCCCCGGGCACGGCUGGGCCCGCUCUCCCCUCACAGGGCUCUGACAGCUUUGCAUCAGACGAGCCCCUUGCGAGCACAGCGACGGAGCUUUCUGCUUUUGCAGCCUCCCCUCUCCGUGUGCCAGAAGGAAUUGGAUGAACUGUAUUCUUCUCUCCGAGUCAUCUCAUUCAGCAUGAGCAGCUCAGCACCAGGAGCUGAAGGAGCUGAAGCCUUAGGCCACAAGAGCUGAGCAAGAGGAG